GUGGGUGAAACUCAAAAGGCCGAGUGCCGGUCUUCCAAACCGGAUGCAGCGGGUUCGAUUCCCGUCGCCCACU
rnacentral:tRNA from 1 species